rnacentral:rRNA from 1 species
GAUGAACGCUGGCGGCGUGCCUAAUACAUGCAAGUCGAGCGAAAAGACGAGGAGCUUGCUCCUCUGACGUUAGCGGCGGACGGGUGAGUAACACGUGGAUAACCUACCUAUAGGACUGGGAUAACUUCGGGAAACCGGUGCUAAUACCGGAUAAUAUAUUGAACCGCAUGGUUCAAUAGUGACAGACGGUUUUGCUGUAACUUAUAGAUGGAUCCGCGCCGCAUUAGCUAGUUGGUAAGGUAACGGCUUACCAAGGCAACGAUGCGUAGCCGACCUGAGAGGGUGAACGGCCACACUGGAACUGAGACACGGUCCAGACUCCUACGGGAGGCAGCAGUAGGGAAUCUUCCGCAAUGGGCGAAAGCCUGACGGAGCAACGCCGCGUGAGUGAUGAAGGUCUGCGGAUCGUAAAACUCUGUUAUGAGGGAAGAACAAAUGUGUAAGUAACGAUGCACGUCUUGACGGUACCUAAUCAGAAAGCCACGGCUAACUACGUG